rnacentral:misc_RNA from 1 species
CGCAACCGAGGCCGGUAACUUUAGAUGACGUCACAUUAUGUUUGGAUUCCUAAAACGUCAUUAAUUUUGCUAACGCCGAUUUCCACAUCUUACAACAAGAACAUAAAGUUCCCAGUCCUGCUCCAAGCACAGAAUACAGUCCUGUUCCAUGGCCAGAACCUAGUCCAGCUCCGAAACCAGAACCUAGUCCAGCUCCGAAGCCAGAACCUAGUCCAGGUCCAAGACCAGAAUAUAGUCCUGUUCCAUGGCCAGAACCUAGUCCAGCUCCGAAGCCAGAUACUACUACAGCUCCAAAGCCAGAUACUACACGAGGUCCAAAGCCAGAUACUACACGAGGUCCAAAGCCAGAUACUACACAAGUUCCAAAGCCAGAUACUACGGGUUCAACUCCAGAGAAGCAGACUGGAGGCCUCAGUGCAGGAUUUGUAGUACUAAUAGCGGUUGUAGUUGUGGUGGCUGCUGCCAUUCCAGCGGCGUUGUUAAUUCGCAAGAGAUGGAAACGCAGUGCGAAAUCCACAGACGAUACAGUGAUGUUGGACGACACCGAGAACGCAAAACAGGAAAAUGAAGUGGCUGUUGUAUAAUACUAUACUUACAAGAGAAUAAAAAUAAAUAUGAUAACACUAGUGGGCAACAAAAAAGUAAUUUGACAACUCUGACAGGAGAGGAAGACCCAAACAAGAACCCUGUCUACAAAAAAAGUUUAAAAACAAAUGAAGCAAAACACGCUUAUAUUUACAAUGGCCUGUGUGUGUGUGCAUGCGAGCGCGCGUGUGUGUGUGUAUGUAUGUGUGCAGAGAGGCAGAGAGACGGGGGGGGGGGGGGGGGGGGGGGGGGGGGUGUGUGUGUGUGUUAUAGAUGUCUUUGUUUGUUGUGUUUUUGUUCUUUUUUGGUUUCUCCUCUCUUUUUUUCAUAUAUACCGUUAGGAUUGUCAAAUGCAUAGUGGUUCAUUCUACUGUCAAUCGUCGAUAACUCAAACUUCAAUGUCUCAAACUGAAGUGACGGUCGAAUUGUUAUACAAACUAGUAACGGCUUUCGAAAACUCGAAAUCCUCGAUCUCUCACACCACAUUCUUUGGUCCCGCCAUAAAGAUUUAGUAGGUUAUGCACCUCUAAAACUAGGCACGUGUGGAUUAAUCAAAUUGCCGUUGACAAUAGUAUUUUCAAGAGGAAAGAAUCCUGAAUCAGGUCAAUUAGGCUGCUCUUGGCUAUCGAUGAUUAAGGUGAUAAUUAAAUAAUAGAUCACCCACUAGGGGAACGAACUGA